UUUGAAUGGGAUGUUGGCUGGCUCGAUGCAGUUACUUAAUCAUCAUCACACACUCUAUGGGAGGAGUGUUGUUGAUGGUUCAUGAGUGAAGGCGUCGGACCAGGCUUCAUUCCAUUCAAA
rnacentral:pre_miRNA from 1 species